rnacentral:rRNA from 1 species
GGGUUGUGAGGUUAAGCGACUAAGCGUACACGGUGGAUGCCCUGGCAGUCAGAGGCGAUGAAGGACGUGCUAAUCUGCGAUAAGCGCCGGUAAGGUGAUAUGAACCGUUAUAACCGGCGAUUUCCGAAUGGGGAAACCCAGUGUGACUCGUCACACUAUCAUUAACUGAAUCCAUAGGUUAAUGAGGCGAACCGGGGGAACUGAAACAUCUAAGUACCCCGAGGAAAAGAAAUCAACCGAGAUUCCCCCAGUAGCGGCGAGCGAACGGGGAGGAGCCCAGAGCCUGAAUCAGCAUGUGUGUUAGUGGAAGCGUCUGGAAAGGCGCGCGAUACAGGGUGACAGCCCCGUACACAAAAGCGCAUAUGCUGUGAGCUCGAUGAGUAGGGCGGGACACGUGGUAUCCUGUCUGAAUAUGGGGGGACCAUCCUCCAAGGCUAAAUACUCCUGACUGACCGAUAGUGAACCAGUACCGUGAGGGAAAGGCGAAAAGAACCCCGGCGAGGGGAGUGAAAAAGAACCUGAAACCGUGUACGUACAAGCAGUGGGAGCA